ACCUUAGCCUUUUAAUAUCCAAAUGCAGGGCGCCAUGAUGUUCUACAGACGUAGAGAUAUGUAGGGGCGGCCAGGAACAUGUGGGGCAGAGGCUGAAAAGCACUUGGAUAUGAAGAAUAUUAAACUAAUAUUGGGAAAGAAGAGAUGGCAGAGAGAUCUGUUGAGAGUAGACUGAUGGAAGAGACUGACAAAAGAAGACAAAAUGAAUCUGCUAUUUACAAACUACAUCCCUAAGGAGAUAAAGAGAAAUGCUGGAGGAACCCAAGGAAUCCAGAAUCUAACACUGCAAAUAUCACGCCACUCUGCACAUUAGUGUGCACCAAGUGAACUUUGCAAAGAAGGAUGACUAAGCCCCAAGUUCCUGGAAACUCACUGAACAGACAGACCAAAAGAGCCUGACAUCUUUCCUUCAAAACAAGCCAGAAAGGCAGUGUGGCCCUGCUGACUUGAAGCUGUACACCAGGAGCAAUACUGGUUAACAGCAUGGCCUCUAUAGCCAGAAAAACAUGAGUCCAAUAUCCAGUUCUGCCACUUAACUUCUCUGGGCCUCAGCUGUCUCACCUAUAACUAGGGAUAAUAAAAAAAUAACCUACAUCACAAAG
rnacentral:lncRNA from 10 species